GAGUGUUGGGUUAAGUCCCGCAACGAGCGCAACCCUUGCCUUUAGUUGCCAGCAGUUCGGCUGGGCACUCUAAAGGGACUGCCGGUGUUAAACCGGAGGAAGGUGGGGAUGACGUCAAGUCCUCAUGGCCUUUAUGACCAGGGCUACACACGUACUACAAUGGCCGAUACAAAGGGCAGCGACACUGCGAGGUGAAGCCAAUCCCGUAAAAUCGGUCUCAGUCCGGAUUGGAGUCUGCAACUCGACUCCAUGAAGUUGGAAUCGCUAGUAAUCGUGGAUCAGCAUGCCACGGUGAAUACGUUCCCGGGCCUU
rnacentral:rRNA from 1 species